UCUCAAGCUCUCGUUCAAGCCCAAUCCGAGUGCCAGGUGGCUUAAACUGCUGUAGCUGCACCCUCUUGAAGCUCGCCCACUUGAACCCACUCGGACCCACGCUCGCUCACCCAGGCAUGUUUGAACCCAUUCCUAUUGUGAGCUCCCACGCCACAUGACCGCACCCACACACUCAUUAACACGCCCAACUCCCAUUUGAAUCUGCACGCUCGCCAAAACCCCCUUGAAGACCUUUUGUGAGUGCCGACAA
rnacentral:lncRNA from 1 species